CCUACGGGAGGCAGCAGUGGGGAAUUUUGGACAAUGGACGCAAGUCUGAUCCAGCCAUGCCGCGUGUGGGAAGAAGGCCUUCGGGUUGUAAACCACUUUUGUCAGGGAAGAAACGGCUCGGGUUAAUACCUUGGGCUAAUGACGGUACCUGAAGAAUAAGCACCGGCUAACUACGUGCCAGCAGCCGCGGUAAUACGUAGGGUGCAAGCGUUAAUCGGAAUUACUGGGCGUAAAGCGUGCGCAGGCGGUUAUGCAAGACAGAUGUGAAAUCCCCGGGCUCAACCUGGGAACUGCAUUUGUGACUGCAUGGCUAGAGUACGGUAGAGGGGGAUGGAAUUCCGCGUGUAGCAGUGAAAUGCGUAGAUAUGCGGAGGAACACCGAUGGCGAAGGCAAUCCCCUGGACCUGUACUGACGCUCAUGCACGAAAGCGUGGGGAGCAAACAGGAUUAGAUACCCUGGUAGUCCACGCCCUAAACGAUGUCAACUGGUUGUUGGGAGGGUUUCUUCUCAGUACGUAGCUAACGCGUGAAGUUGACCGCCUGGGGNGGACGGCGCGAGUAGAAGUAAAGUAAGUAGAGNGNGNGAGNGCGACGACGACGACGAGGGAGGAGG
rnacentral:rRNA from 1 species